GGAGGCAUAGCACAACGGUAGUGCAUCAGACUUUGACUCUGUUGAUAGUGGUUCGACUCCACUUGCCUCUCCCA
rnacentral:tRNA from 1 species